rnacentral:rRNA from 1 species
GAGGCGACGAUGCGUAGGGGUUCUGAGAGGAAGGUCCCCCACACUGGUACUGAGACACGGACCAGACUCCUACGGGAGGCAGCAGUGAGGAAUAUUGGUCAAUGGCCGGGAGGCUGAACCAGCCAAGUCGCGUGAGGGAAGACGGCCCUACGGGUUGUAAACCUCUUUUGUCAGGGAGCAAGGGGCGGGUCGAGACCUGCUGUGAGAGUACCUGAAGAAAAAGCAUCGGCUAACUCCGUGCCAGCAGCCGCGGUAAUACGGAGGAUGCGAGCGUUAUCCGGAUUUAUUGGGUUUAAAGGGUGCGCAGGCGGAGGCACAAGUCAGCGGUAAGAUCGCGGGGCUCAACCCCGCUCCGCCGUUGAAACUGUGUCCCUUGAGUGCGCGAAGGGUAGGCGGAAUGCGUGGUGUAGCGGUGAAAUGCAUAGAUAUCACGCAGAACUCCGAUCGCGAAGGCAGCCUACCGGCGCGCGACUGACGCUCAUGCACGAAAGCGUGGGUAUCGAACAGGAUUAGAUACCCUGGUAGUCCACGCAGUAAACGAUGAAUGCUAUCUGUCCGGCCGGAAUGACGGCUGG